CUUAGAUAAAGGAAUUAAUCUUUGUAGUGACGGUGACCCAGGCAUCGCUGGAGAAUCAGAGCCCAGUGUUGGCCACAGUCACAGCUACUGGGUGCAGAAGGGACCCCCACGGGCCAGGCACCCCCACCCCAGGGGUCUCUUCUGGCUCCAUUUUGCAGGUGGCUUUGUGGGAAGCUUCCCUCAGAGCUGGGAGAAAUGGGUCAAAGCAAACCCUUGUCUGACAGAGGCUGGCCCUUUGGGGAGCAGCUGACACCAAGACUUCUCCACUUGGGCAGG
rnacentral:lncRNA from 1 species